CUGGGUUAGUCGGGACCUAAGGAGAGACCGAAGGGUGUAUCCGAUGGCCAACAGGUUGAUAUUCCUGUACUAGAGUAUGAAGUGAUGGAGGGACGCAGUAGGCUAACUAAAGCAGACGACUGGAAGAGUCUGUCUAAGCAGUGAGGCGUGGUAUGAGUCAAAUGCUUAUACCUAUAACGUUGAGCUGUGAUGGGGAGCGAAGUUUAGUAGCGAAGUUAGUGAUGUCACACUGCCAAGAAAAGCUUCUAGCGAUGUAUCAUACUCUACCCGUACCGCAAACCGACACAGGUAGUCGA
rnacentral:rRNA from 1 species